AGUAAGCAGCAGCCCAGCACAGAGGCCUCAAUGGACCAUGCACAAGACUAUCCAUAAACAAAAAUAGCCAAUUGGCUGAGAAUAGCAGAAGAGACCAGAUAUGCAGAGAUGCCCUAAGAGAUCAUGCAGCCCGUAAGAGAGAGCAGAGCCUCCGCUCUGGAAUUGCUGCCAGCUUAGCAAUUCCAUUUUAGAUGUUUCCUGUACCUGAAGAUCCCUAUGUCCUUCACAGGCACUGUCUUGAUGAGUCUAAUUAUUUUAGUCAAGUACUAUUAACUAAUAUUCCACUCC
rnacentral:lncRNA from 10 species